rnacentral:lncRNA from 1 species
UUAAUAAUUUGCUCUUAUAGAUAUUCAGUCGUGUGAUGGAUGACCGAAGUUAAGUUUAACGUUUGAGUUAAAGUUAAGAUAACUCUCAGGAAUAACGUGCUCAUAACUGUAUAGGUAAAAUUUGGUGUGAUGUAUCGCUCCCAGUUAUGAAAUAGUUAUAUCAUCAACGUUAUAUUAGAAAGAAGUUUUGAGGAACAAAUUUU